rnacentral:rRNA from 1 species
UAGGGAAUCUUCCGCAAUGGACGCAAGUCUGACGGAGCAACGCCGCGUGAGUGAAGAAGGUUUUCGGAUCGUAAAACUCUGUUGUUAGAGAAGAACAAGUGCUAGAGUAACUGUUAGCGCCUUGACGGUAUCUAACCAGAAAGCCACGGCUAACUACGUGCCAGCAGCCGCGGUAAUACGUAGGUGGCAAGCGUUGUCCGGAUUUAUUGGGCGUAAAGCGAGCGCAGGCGGUUCCUUAAGUCUGAUGUGAAAGCCCCCGGCUCAACCGGGGAGGGUCAUUGGAAACUGGGGAACUUGAGUGCAGAAGAGGAGAGUGGAAUUCCAUGUGUAGCGGUGAAAUGCGUAGAUAUAUGGAGGAACACCAGUGGCGAAGGCGACUCUCUGGUCUGUAACUGACGCUGAGGCUCGAAAGCGUGGGUAGCAAACAGGAUUAGAUACCCUGGUAGUCCACGCCGUNNCGAUGAGUGCUAAGUGUUGGAGGGUUUCCGCCCUUCAGUGCUGCAGUUAACGCAUUAANCACUCCGCCUGGGGAGUACGACCGCAAGGNU